GUGUGUGUGUGUGUGUGUGUGGUUAAGAUUCGUUUUAGGUCCGUGCCAGUAUCUCAUCACCUACCUUAUGAAACAUCAGUAGCUCUUCAUAUAUCUUUUCUACAAACCUUCAACAGUCAUGGAAACGCUUUCAAAAUCUAAUUCAAGGACUCAUUCCCUCUUCUACAGUAUGUAAGUCUGUGCCCUGUGGUGACGCUUCGGAAGUGCUUCGAAGUGACGUCACGAGCAACAUGGCGGCGGGAGGGAGACGGCAGCUGGGAGGAAGGAGGAGGAAGGUCACAUAAAUCCACUAAAAUCCACACAACGCUUUACUCCCGUGCCACAUCUAUACCACCCACAUUACCCUGCCACAUCAGCGGACCUGCCUGUGCACUCAUCAACAACGCCAAAGCUUCGUGGACUCCAUAAUCCCGCAAAAUAAUAGUCAGGGAGCUUCAACAGUCGGGCAAGGUCUCCUCCACAUACUCCAAGUCUGUUGUCAGUACUGUUCUGGGUGGUGGCAACGCAGUGAUGUGUUAUAUCUUGACUCUCCCACCUGACCAUAGCAGCGGAGGAGGCAAAAUUGAGACCUUACGUGUACUUACAUCUCACAGCAAGCCUGGCAUUUUGUUACGACUACUGCGUAACAAAAGUGAAGCCCUGCAGUGUGAUGUCUAGGUACACAGUGUCUCCAUGGUGCCUCCUUUCCCAGCGUUGUCAAGCAGACUGUAGUUCAUUUUCUAGAGCUGGAUUCUUUGCUCCUGGCUGAGUAAGUAAGGACGCUGCUGAUUGGCGGGGCAUCUGAGUCUCUUUGUCGCUCAACACACUUGUGAAGGUUCAGGAAAUAUUCAUAUUAGCCAAAGAUAGGGCAGAUUUUGUUGGUAUCAUUGGAUUAAGCAAUGAUUGUAUGACUAACUCGAUUAUCAAGACACAGCAGGGUAAAAAAAAUGAUUAAUGAUGGUGAGAAGUUAGAGAAUAAGUGUUUAUGCUUUAUACCACCUUUUUACAGAUCUGAAAGUAGCAUUGUAUGGAUGAGUUAAUGUGCCAGAACAAGCUUAUAUACUUAAUUUGAUUCAAAAAGUGUUAUGAACAGUUUUCUCACCAUAAUUACUUCUUUUACCACAUUGAGUCUUGGAAAUGUAGUUGUACAAUUACUGCUUAGUCCAAUAAUGUCAACAAUUUUUUUUUGUUGUGUGAGUUAAGCAAAGAAACGAGUAUUUUCUGAACCUGUGCGAGUGUGUUGGGCGAAAUUUUUGUUGUUGUGUGAGUUAAGCAAAGAAACAUGUAUUUUCUGAACCUAUGCGAGUGUGUUGGGCGACAGACGUCUCGCCACCAACCAACAGAAUCCAUACUAAGGAGCAAAGGAUCCAACUGGACUAGUCACGGCGUCGCACCACCACCCUGGACGGUCAGCAUGUGGAGAAAAGACUUUUGCCACAAGAAUGGUACAGGGCCCGGCAGAAACAAAAAGGAGAACUGUACUGAAGAGCAGGCUACACUAUAGAAGAUAGCUAUUGGAGCGUCAUCGCCGGCCAGCAGUCCAGGAGAGGAGGUGGCCAGAGCCCUACACCGGGGAAUAGGAGGCCACUGCAUCAUGAGUCUGAAGUUAUAUGAUGUCUCCACAGGUCCUGAUGACACGCUGCAGAAUGGGUCCGAUGUCUCUCCAUGUCCAAAUGAUGUGUUGGCAGCUUCGUGGUGAUGUCGCCCCACACCAGCUCUCCUUCCCCUGACUCUCCCCUGGUACAAACUCCCCCUCCAAACAUUAGCAGAAUCACAACUACGUGUCCUGCUACUGUCACAUCAUGAGGCCCAACACAUCACUGGCGGCAACAGAUGCAACACCAAACUGCUGCUGUAUUUGAUUCCACUAAUAUUAGGAAGGGGAGUUUUGCUGUGGGGUGAGUCUGCAUCCGGGCUUCUCACCAGUACUGGGAGUGGGUAUUGAGUGUUUCUGACUCUCCUCCUCUUCCCUGGCGAUGUCCUCCUUGCCUGAGAAAUAGAAGUUUGUAAGUAUUCGAGUUGUGUUUGGCAGCUGCCGAGUCAAGACCAAAAAGGUUCACUAGAUAUAAGAACGAAGUAUUUAUAAUAGAGAAUAAUUCAAAUAAAAAAUACGCAUGAACAAUUCUUAUCCCUAUCCUCUUGGGCUGGUGGUGGUGCUCUUCCUCCUCUUGAACGGAUAUUGCCUUCCUCUUUCUCCUCUUGGUUUGGUGUUGAUGGUAAGACCUUUCCUCUUGAAUUGGUGAUGGUGGUGAUAGCCUCUUCACUAUCUCUUGGUGGUAAUGAUUCUUCUCCUCCUCCUCCUCCUCUUGGAUUAGUGGCACAAUGCUCUUCCUCUUCUUGUGGUGGUGUGGUUAGGGUGAUGUCUCCUGUCGGUAGCUCUUUCUCCUCUUGUGGUUAGGGUGAUGUCUCCUGUCGGUAGCUCUUUCUCCUCUUGUGGUUAGGGUGAUGUCUCCUGUCGGUAGCUCUUUCUCCUCUUGUGGUUAGGGUGAUGUCUCCUCUAGGUAGCUCUUUCUCCUCUUGUGGUUAGGGUGAUGUCUCCUGUCGGUAGCUCUUUCUCCUCUUGUGGUUAGGGUGAUGUCUCCUCUAGGUAGCUCUUUCUCCUCUUGUGGUUAGGGUGAUGUCUCCUCUAGGUAGCUCUUUCUCCUCUUGUGGUCAGGGUGAUGUCUCCUCUCAAUAGCUCUUUCUCCUCCUCCUCUUC